rnacentral:lncRNA from 1 species
UCUGAACUCAGAUUCUUCACCAUUAUCCCUAAUCGUCCGGAUCGGGGACGUCUAACUAAAACCCUAAGACCAAAAUCGAAUCAACAAUAGUGAAGGUCUCCCCCAAUUAAACAUGGAUUCCUCUCAAGUCUGCAAGGUGAGUACAAAGGUGAAGCGGAGGAAAGAAAAGAAGAGAUAAAGGAGAGAGGAGUAUACUACCUCAGAAUUAGUCUGAAG